rnacentral:rRNA from 1 species
GACGUAGGGAGCGAGCGUUGUCCGGAAUUACUGGGCGUAAAGGGCUCGUAGGCGGCCAACUAAGUCAUACGUGAAAUCCCUCGGCUUAACCGGGGAACUGCGUCUGAUACUGGAUGGCUUGAGAUUGGGAGAGGGAUGCGGAAUUCCAGGUGUAGCGGUGAAAUGCGUAGAUAUCUGGAGGAACACCGGUGGCGAAGGCGGCAUCCUGGACCAACACUGACGCUGAGGAGCGAAAGCCAGGGGAGCAAACGGG